rnacentral:rRNA from 1 species
AGCAAUGCAUGGAGCUGACCAAUACUAAUCGGUCGAGGGCUUAUCCAAUAA